GAAUUUUUCACAAGCCCACACAGAGGCAAGGGCCUCCUUCUCGAUUUGCGCGUAUUUCUUUUCUGCGUCGUGUGCGGGACGAUGCGUCACUCCGCAACGGACGAGGUCGGUGAAUUGUUGCGGUAAGGUGCGCCUUCCCAACGAGUUGUGGUAUAACAACCAGAUUACAGAUACAGGCAUAAAAGGGAUUAAGCAUAAAUGGACAACACCCGCCCAAAGACAAGGGGGAAUAAAGCGAGGGAUGCAGGCAAGAAAGGCAAGAAAG